rnacentral:rRNA from 1 species
UACGUAGGGUCCGAGCGUUGUCCGGAAUUAUUGGGCGUAAAGAGCUCGUAGGCGGUGUGUCGCGUCGGCCGUGAAAACUGUGGCUUAACUAUGGGCUUGCGGUCGAUACGGGCAUCACUGGAGUUCGGCAGGGGAGACUGGAAUUCCUGGUGUAGCGGUGAAAUGCGCAGAUAUCAGGAGGAACACCGGUGGCGAAGGCGGGUCUCUGGGCCGAUACUGACGCUGAGGAGCGAAAGCGUGGGGAGCGAACAGG